rnacentral:rRNA from 1 species
UACGGAGGGUGCAAGCGUUAAUCGGAAUUACUGGGCGUAAAGCGUGCGCAGGCGGUCGCGUGAGCCAGAUGUGAAAUCCCCGGGCUCAACUUGGGCACUGCAUUUGGUACUGCGUGGCUGGAGUGCGGCUGAGGGAGGUGGAAUUCCUGGUGUAGCAGUGAAAUGCGUAGAGAUCAGGAGGAACACCGAUGGCGAAGGCAGCCUUCUGGGCCAGCACUGACUCUCAUGUUCUAAACAGUGGGGAGCAUACAGG